UCUCUGAUCCCUGGGAGCGUGGCUUGCUGCCGACGGCGCGGCGCGUGCUCUGUCCCCGAGGCCAGGAGAGUCGCCGAGCACGUGUCCCGAAAGCUGGACGCGGGCAGGGCCGUCCAGCACUUGUCCCAGAUCCAAGACGGCCUGGCCAAAAGCCGGAAACCCAGGACUGGAGUCUAGUUUUGACAGAGUCCUCGCGAGCUGGGCCAGGCCUGCGGUGGAGGUCACCGAUGGGGGAAAGAGCGUGUCAGAGACUGGAUUCUGAAGAAUGCGUUAACGGAGGGCUCCAGUCCUCGCCAGGUGUCAACCAUCGGAGAUGGUCCCUCUAGCCUGAUCACCUAGUUUGCUACCAUGAGAAGGGACUAUUUUCUUCCUGCAGAAGAUACGGUGGCCACAGGCUAAUCUGGCUCACUUCCCUUUGUUUUAGGGAGUGAGGCUACUUGAAGAGGACUUGAAGAGGGUACUUGAAGAGUGAGGCUACUUGAAGAGUGACUGUAGCAAUGGCAGGAUUGUUAUCUAACAGAAGGUUAUAGAGAAGAUCAUCGAUACACAGAAGAGAAAAAUAUGCUGUUUCUCUGCCUGAAUGAGCAGGAGUUCUGGGAUCCAGCCAGUUCAGACUCACCAAUACCAACCCCUGGGGCAGCACUACGGAACCCUAAUUUUAAAACCAUGAAUAUCAAUCAUGCCUUGAAGAGAUUUUAAACAUGUAAAAGAUCUGUGCCCAAUGAACCUUUAAGAAAAUCCACCUCACUUAACUCAAAGUCAUACUGACAGUAAGACCUGCAUUUGGUUUAUUUAUAUUGUGUUGAGACACUGACCUUGUCCUGCUUAAGCUUCCACAUUUUGAUGAAACCAUCACUCGAGGCUGUAACAAGAACGUGAUGCUCUGGAGUUUCAAAACUGAACAUGUCUUUUACCCUAGGACAAAAACAGUGACUCUGUAAAGGAGCCUUUCCUCCAGACAGUAUGAUGCUGCUAGAAAACUUCCAGGCACAUAGUCUCUCGACUUUUCAAGGCUUCGGGUGUUUCCAAACUGCUCAAAGAACAGUGCCAAAAAUUUAACAUGCCUCACAAUCCCAUGAGUUGGUUGAGUCAUUUUCAGGGUCUAAAUUCCCAAGAUAGAAUUGACUGUCAACCAUACCUUAAGAAGGACUUGAAAAGAUGACAGACAACUAUAAAUAAUCAGAUUAUCAGGAAUAAAAGGAAUUAUCAGGAAUUAAAGGAAAUAAAGAUAUUCAAACCCCCUCCACCUCAGGAAACUACGGAGAGAAAGACCGAGGCCUCCUCCCCUUGUCCUCAGGGCCCACCACCCACCUUCUGAGCUACUAUCAUUUUCCUUCUGGAUUAUGGAGUAAACUAACUGGCCUCUUGGCUUCCAUUUUUGCACCCUAACAACUUAAAAAAAAAAUCAAACCUUGUUAUUCCCAGGCUUAAAAUUCUAUAGAGGUAGGUUCGGUUUCAAAACACCACAAGAGGGAGGAAGUGGCUGGGACACAGAAAACCCAACACCUACAAAGGCAUUUGAUAUAUAACUCAAACUCCUUCCCACAACACAGCAGGCCUGGCACCAUCUGGCUCCUCUGACCCAGUGACGGUCUUCUGUCUGUUCCUAAAAUACACCAAGCUCUUUUCUCCCUCAGGGCCACUGUGCCUACAAUUCUCUCUCUUUUAGAAAUAGCUCCUUUAUCCCGAAGGUCUCAUUCCCCCUUCCCCGAUCAUCCCAUCCAAAUAAGUUACCUGUGUUAUUCCCAAAUCGUAAUACCUAUUUCCUUCCUGUUAGGAUUACCUGAGUUCUUGUUUAUCCUAUUUGUUGCCCCCGAUAAGAUAAGAGCCAGGAGAGUUGCAAGCUCCUGCUGCAGUCUUUCAUUAUGGACACUCAGCGAAUACUUGUUAAAUGAACAACCAAAUAUCCAUGAAGAGCUACAUGGCCUUGAAGAAUAGGCUCCCUUCCCCAAAACUAGGCGGGUAGAAACCAGGGCCUGCCUAGUGAGUGCAGUAUUCUAUUUGUAAAGAGAGAUUUCUUAAAGCUAAACUGUGAUACAGAAAACGAAAACUAAGAGUUGUUUGGGACUUCCUUGGUGGUCCCGUGGCUAAGGCUCCAGGCUCCCAACGCAGGGGACCCGGAUUCGACCUACAUUCCACAUGCCACAGCAUGCUGCAACUAAGACUCUGUGCAGCCAAAUAAAUAAGCAUUUUAAAAAAAUAACUAAGAAUUGUUUGAAACAUAAAAGAACAUGCAAAUAAAACACAUGAUCACCAUUUUACAAAAUUACAGCAGAAAAAGCAAGAGCACUAAACUCUUGGGUGGUUAGAACUGGGUUGGUUCCCUUCUCCAUCACCUAACAGGGUGGUAACCUUGGUCCAGUUAUUAACCAUUGACCCUGAGACUCAUGUCUGCCUGCAGAGAUACAGUGAGCGGUAAGAGGUGAUAGAGAUGGACGCAAGACAGAGGUCAACAUGUCAUUUAUUUCUCUUACAGGAAAAGCAGAGCGUAGGAAGGGGCCAGUGGACAGGCAAACAGAGGGAAAUAAGACAAGAGUGGUUGGGGCAGAGCUAAUUUUUUUUACCCACUCAAGUAUGAAUUGAGGGUUCCAGGCCACAAGUGUAAUGAAAUUAUUGAGAAAAUAAGUCUGUUGUGCCAAUGACUAGUCCUGGUGAAGGCUUCACCACUUUUGCAUCACUAUGGCCAAGACAACAUUCCCACCAUCCUCUUGGGGAAAAAAAAAAUCAGCUAUGUAGAUAUGUCUAUUUCUGUAGUAGUUCACCAAAAAGUCUGCCUUAUGAAGCUACUGCAUUUAUAAGAGACCCUCCACAUACAAGCACACAGAGAUUAGUGUGUAAAAAAAAAAAAAAAAAAAAGUACCUGUUUUCAUGAGCUUUAAACUCAGAGAGGCAUGUUAGGGAAUCACAGUCAAAAAACCUUACAACCUCUUCAUCUCCAGCCACUGUGAGGACAGAUUCCUAACAGAGGGGAAAAUAAAACACACAUUAACACCCAGAAUGUCAUCAACAAUUCUGACCAUCACCAUAUACGCUCAGCUCCCACCAUUGACUUCCAAUCACUUACUGAAAGAAAUGUAACAGAAGACACUCUCCUUUCAUUUGUGAUGGUGCCACUGACGGAUGCAGUGUUGAGCUGAUAGACGUCUAUUCUGUUCAGUAUGACAACUACGUAUUUCUCUCCUUUUGGCGACCAUUCCACUAUGUGAGCAUCUGUAAGUUACAAGAACAAAGCUGUUGUAUUUCACAGAUAAAAAAAGAAACUGAUCGGGGGUCAUAAAAAAAAUACCAAAUACUUACACUGUGCACUUUCACAUCCAUUAUCCCAUUAAACCUUCACAGCAAACUUAUGAUGCAUAUUUUUGUUAAAUUUUAGACAAGGAACUCGUUUGAAGAAUCAUUAAGGUCAUAAAGUUCAUAGGUGGCAGAGCCAUGCCAAAAAUCCCAAUAGAAAGAGGGCGAAAAAGCGACCUAAGGCCUAUGCUCUCAGAGAGAACCACCACCACGUAAGGAAAUAAGUGUAGGUGUGUGGACACGAGAACUUGUGUGUAUACACAUUCACAGCCUAUCAAAUUUUCAAAUGCAUUCUAAACAAAAACACUCACUUUAGGCUUCCCUGGUGGCUCAGUGGUAAAGAAUCCACCUGCCAAUUCAGGAGACAUGGGUUCGAUCCCUGAUCUGGGAAGAUCUCACAUGUCUCAGAGCAACCAAGCCUGUGUUACUGAGCCCUCACGCCUUAGAGCCUACGCUCCACAACAAGAGAAGCCACUGCCGUGAGGAGCCUGCAUGCCACAACGUACGAGCAGCCUCCAAUCGUUGCAACUAGAGAAAAAGCCCUUGAGAUGACCAAGAUCCAGCACAGCC